rnacentral:sRNA from 1 species
AGUACAAGUCAGCAUAGCUAAUGCAGAUAGAUCUCCUGCCUCUCGCUCUCCUCCUCCCUCUGCUUUGAUUCGAUAUGAACAGCCUGGUAACUCCGAUGCUGGGGAGAAAUCUGACAUAACUCUGCAGAUGGCUAGGUUGCCAUGGAACACCUGGGGAUUGUUCUUUAAGGAAAAGCAACCACUGGAAAGGAAAGACAGCCAGAAUAGUUCUCAGCACAGUGUUUCCAGCCACCGAAGCCUGCACACAGCAUCCCCAAGCCACAGCACACAGGUGCUCCCCGAGUUCCCACCUGCAGAGGCCCAAGCUCCAGAUCAAACUGACAGCUCUGGUCAGAAAAAACCAGAUCCUUUUAAAAUCUGGGCCCAGUCCAGGAGCAUGUAUGAAAACCGACCUAUGUCACCUUCACCUGCGUCGGGAUUGAGCAAGGGUGAGAGAGAGAGAGAAAUCAAUUCCACGAAUUUUGGAGAAUGUCCGAUUCCAGAUUACCAGGAACAGGACAUCUUCCUCUGGAGAAAAGAGACUGGAUUUGGAUUUAGGAUUCUGGGUGGAAAUGAACCAGGGGAACCUAUUUAUAUUGGUCACAUCGUACCACUGGGUGCUGCUGAUACUGACGGCCGCCUGAGGUCUGGAGAUGAAUUAAUUUGUGUGGAUGGGACGCCAGUAAUUGGAAAAUCACACCAGCUCGUGGUCCAGCUUAUGCAACAAGCUGCCAAGCAAGGCCACGUCAAUCUCACGGUGCGGCGUAAAGUGGUUUUUGCGGUGCCCAAAACCGAGAACGAGGUGCCCUCGCCAGCCUCCUCUCAUCACAGUAGCAACCAGCCAGCCUCGCUGACGGAAGAGAAGCGCACCCCGCAGGGCAGCCAGAACUCGCUGAACACGGUGAGCUCGGGCAGCGGCAGCACCAGCGGCAUCGGCAGUGGCGGCGGCGGGGGUAGCGGUGUGGUCAGCACCGUGGUGCAGCCCUACGACGU